CCUACGGGUGGCAGCAGUGGGGGAUAUUGCACAAUGGGGGGAACCCUGAUGCAGCGACGCCGCGUGGGUGAAGAAGCGCCUCGGCGCGUAAAGCCCUGUCAGCAGGGAAGAAAAUGACGGUACCUGAAGAAGAAGCCCCGGCUAACGACGGGACAGCAGCCGCGGUAAUACGUAGGGGGCAAGCGUUAUCCGGAUUUACUGGGUGUAUAGGGGGCGUAGGCGGCGAUGCAAGCCAGGGGUGAAAGCCCGGGGCCCAACCCCGGGACUGCUCUUGGAACUGGGUGGCUGGAGUGGAGGAGGGGCAGGCGGAAUGCCUGGUGUAGCGGUGAAAUGCGUAGAAAUCAGGAGGAACACCGGUGGCGAAGGCGGCCUGCUGGACUGCAACUGACGUUGAGGCCCGAAAGCGUGGGGAGCAAACAGGAUUAGAUACCCUUGUAGUC
rnacentral:rRNA from 1 species